rnacentral:sRNA from 1 species
AAUUUCUCCUCCCCCUCCCGGCCAAGAUGUCUGACAUGGAGGAUGAUUUCAUGUGCGAUGAUGAGGAGGACUACGACCUGGAAUACUCUGAAGAUAGUAACUCCGAGCCAAAUGUGGAUUUGGAAAAUCAGUACUAUAAUUCCAAAGCAUUAAAAGAAGAUGACCCAAAAGCGGCAUUAAGCAGUUUCCAAAAGGUUUUGGAACUUGAAGGUGAAAAAGGAGAAUGGGGAUUUAAAGCACUGAAACAAAUGAUUAAGAUUAACUUCAAGUUGACAAACUUUCCAGAAAUGAUGAAUAGAUAUAAGCAGCUAUUGACCUAUAUUCGGAGUGCAGUCACAAGAAAUUAUUCUGAAAAAUCCAUUAAUUCUAUUCUUGAUUAUAUCUCUACUUCUAAACAGGUUAGACUCAAUUUUCCCCUCUUGGGACGAUCAGUGUGUUUAUUAUUUAUAGUAAGGGCUUUGUUCUUUAUAGAUGGAAAGGCCUAGAACUUCUAUUUAAGUAGUUAUGCUAGUUAUUAGUAUGCUUUAAAAAUGAUAAGUACUAUUUUCCUGGUUAUAUUACUGAUUAUAUAAUAGUAAAAGGUAAUAACUCCAGCUUGAUCUCUUUAAAUAAUGCCUUCAGAUGCUAAAAUCUGUAAACAACUUUUCAGGCUUAUGUUAGACUCCUGU